rnacentral:lncRNA from 1 species
AGCAGCAUAGGCAUUUUUGUCCCUGGAUCUGGUCGACGAGUAGAAAAGGCCCUGGAUGGAGGCAGGCUCUAUCUGCAUUACAACGCCAUAAGGGAUCUUGUCAGACUCCACUAUCACCCUCUUCCGUUCUCAAGGUAACACAUUAUUUUCCAUUUUUUCUUAGGCACAGUAAUUCGUUUUUUUUAGUGUUAGGAUGGAUAGAUAUAACUUACCUCCGACCAUUCUCAUUUUUUCUCGACAUGAGAUCAUAUAAAACCCCCCUUUUGUAGCAAAAAAUAGCAGGAUCAGAUAAUACUCCACGAUUCCAUUAUGCAUGACUUCUCGUUGAUUUGAUCUUUUUGGAUUCGUUCCGAGCAUGAGAUAACUGAUCAAAUUGUAAAGAACAAGAACUAUAUACAUUUCUAUACCUGUAAGUUAUUGUUAUUUCAUCAGUUGCA